GGGGUCUUUAGGGGAUUUAGGGGGUCAGAAACAGGAGGCUGCCGACAACCUCCUGUUUCCGCUGCUGGGCCACGACAGCUCCCUGUUUCCGUUGCUGUGCCGCGACAGCCUCCUGUUUCUGCUGCCGGGCUGCGACAGCCUCCAGUUCCCGCUGCCGGGCUGCGACAGCCUCCAGUUCCCGCUGCCGGACCUCCGCAGACUUCAGUUCCCGCUGCCGGACUUGCGCAGACUUCAGUUCCCGCUGCCGGACCUCCGCAGACUCCAGUUCCCGCUGCCGGACCUCCGCAGACUCCCAUUCCUGCUGCCGGAUCUCUGCUGACAUCCGCCCUAGCUGUUCCCCAGCUGCCCAUCGAGACCCCAGCUGUUCACCAGCUGCCCCAGAAGACCCCAGCCCCUGUGCUCCCUCCGUCCCUCGAGACCCCAGCCCCUGUGCUCCCUCCGUUCCUUGAGACCCCAGCCCCUGUGCUCCCGUUGCCCCCCGAGACCCCAGCCCCUGUGCUCCCGUUGACCCCCAAGACCCCAGCCCCUGUGCUCCCUCCGUCCCUCGAGACCCCAGCCCCUGUGCUCCCUCUGUCCCUCGGGACCCCAGCCCCUGUGAUCCCCUCUCCUCCCGAGACCCCUGUGCUCCCAUCUCUUCCCGAGACCCCUGUGCUCCCAUCUCUUCCCGAGACCCCUGUGCUCCCAUCUCUUCUCUUCCCGAGACCCCUGUGCUCCCAUCUCUUCCGCUCCCCUCUCUUCCCUAGACCCCUUCGCUCCCCUCUCUUACCGAGACCCAUUCGCUCUCCUCUCUUCCCAAGACCCCUUCGCUCCCCUCUCUUCCCGAGACCCUGGUGCUUCCUCCAGCCCGGCCUCCCCGCUGGCCUCCCCGCUGGCCUCCUGAGCGGCUGCGCCCGCAUCCUGCCCUGCCUCCGCGGCGGCCUCCGCACCGGCCUCCCCGCCGGCCUACUGAGCGGCUCCACCCGCAUCCUGCCCCGCCUCCUGCGGGCCUGUGCUUGUGCCUGUUGUACCAUGAAACACAUGCACAGAAGUGCAAAUAGACAUACAUGGAUGGUGAGCUCACUGCUGUUCAAAGUUUAA
rnacentral:lncRNA from 1 species